AUUGAACGCUGGCGGCAUGCUUUACACAUGCGAGUCGAACGGUAACAGGCCGCAAGGUGCUGACGAGUGGCGAACGGGUGAGUAAUGCAUCGGAACGUGCCCAGUCGUGGGGGAUAACGCAGCGAAAGCUGCGCUAAUACCGCAUACGAUCUAUGGAUGAAAGCGGGGGACCGAAAGGCCUCGCGCGAUUGGAGCGGCCGAUGUCAGAUUAGGUAGUUGGUGGGGUAAAGGCCCACCAAGCCAACGAUCUGUAGCUGGUCUGAGAGGACGACCAGCCACACUGGGACUGAGACACGGCCCAGACUCCUACGGGAGGCAGCAGUGGGGAAUUUUGGACAAUGGGCGCAAGCCUGAUCCAGCAAUGCCGCGUGCAGGAAGAAGGCCUUCGGGUUGUAAACUGCUUUUGUACGGAACGAAACGGUCCGGGUUAAUACCCUGGGCUAAUGACGGUACCGUAGAAUAAGCACCGGCUAACUACGUGCCAGCAGCCGCAGUAAGAC
rnacentral:rRNA from 1 species